AUACCGGCGGCUCGAGUGGUGGCCACUAUUACUGGGCUUAAAGCGUCCGUAGCUGGUCUGUUAAGUCUCUGGGGAAAUCUACCGGCUUAACCGGUAGGCGUCUCAGGGAUACUGGCAGACUAGGGACCGGGAGAGGUGAGGGGUACUCCAGGGGUAGGAGUGAAAUCCUGUAAUCCUUGGGGGACCACCUGUGGCGAAGGCGCCUCACCAGAACGGCUCCGACAGUGAGGGACGAAAGCUGGGGGAGCAAACCGGAUUAGAUACCCGGGUAGUCCCAGCUGUAAACGAUGCGCGUUAGGUGUAUCGGUGACCACGAGUCACCGAGGUGCCGAAGGGAAACCGUGAAACGUGCCGCCUGGGAAGUACGGUCGCAAGGCUGAA
rnacentral:rRNA from 1 species